CUACGGGGUGCAGCAGUGAGGAAUUUUGCGCAAUGGGGGAAACCCUGACGCAGCAACGCCGCGUGAGUGAAGAAGGCCCUUGGGUCGUAAAGCUCUGUCAAUGGGGAAGAAGUUAUUAUGUGUUAAUAGCACAUUUUAUUGACGGUACCCAUGAAGGAAGCACCGGCUAACUCCGUGCCAGCAGCCGCGGUAAUACGGGGGGUGCAAGCGUUAUUCGGAAUUAUUGGGCGUAAAGGGCACGCAGGCGGUCCUGUCAGUCAGAUGUGAAAGCCCGGGGCUCAACCCCGGACGUGCAUUUGAAACAGCAGGACUUGAGUACGGGAGAGGAAAGGGGAAUUCCUGGUGUAGAGGUGAAAUUCGUAGAUAUCAGGAGGAACACCGGUGGCGAAGGCGCCUUUCUGGACCGAUACUGACGCUGAGGUGCGAAGGCGUGGGUAGCGAACGGGAUUAGAUACCCUGGUAGUC
rnacentral:rRNA from 1 species